UACAGAGGGUGCGAGCGUUGUCCGGAAUCACUGGGCGUAAAGGGCGCGUAGGUGGCGCCCCAAGUCGAUGGUGAAAGCUCGCCGCUCAACGGCGAGUCGGCCACCGAUACUGGGGCGCUUGAGCACUGUAGAGGCUAAUGGAAUUCCGGGUGUAGCGGCGGAAUGCGUAGAGAUCCGGAAGAACACCGGUGGCGAAGGCGGUUAGCUGGGCAGUUGCUGACACUGAGGCGCGACAGCGUGGGGAGCAAACAGG
rnacentral:rRNA from 1 species